UAGGAAUAUUUACUGUGAAUACCCAAUCCCUUUUUCUGUAGCGGCUAGCUUUUGGUUGAGAAUUAGUUAUGUAGAGAAUUUUGAUUUCUAGCUAGCGUCGCAGUUUCUAGAGUUUUAGACCAUGAUUCUUUAACCCAAAGUACACGAACUUGUUAGUAGACACGACUCCAUAUCAAUCUGUGCAAACAUUUCCUUGUUUCUAAUUGUAUUAUCGUGUUACAAUUGUUGAUUUUUCAAAUCAUUUUGUAAUGAAUGAAUAUCUUCAAAACAUCAACUAAAUUGGAUCUUUUAUAGACAUAUAAGUAUCCAAUAUGUUUUGAUAAAGUUAUGUUCUUAUGAUGAUGCUUGAAAUAGUUAGUUGACUAAAUCAUAUUCGAUUUGAUAAAUUUUUUGUAGAAGCAAUUCUAAGUGAACUUUCUAAUCAUGUAAUGAAAAAGAGAGAACUUGUACAUACAUUCAAAUUGUUAAAGAAAUUAACGCAGGAGUGUAUUUCCAUUGUUCUAUAUAUAUAUGGUUUUGGUUUCUUAACAAUUGUUCUAUGAAGAGCUUCAUUGAUGUGGACUCUGUGAUGUUAUUCACUUCCCUGCUUGGUAUCUUUAUUGUUUUCUUUGUACAUUUGAAUCUGUUCCCUAUUCAUACUUUUGUUGUUGUCCACUAAUAUGUGUGAAAUUUUUGUGUCUAUUAUUCAGAGUUCACCUCCUGGCUACUCUUCUGGUGGGAGGAGAAACUAUGGCAAAGAGCUUAAAACAUCUGUAGCACAAAAUGAAUGCUUCAAGUGUGGUCGUCCAGGACAUUGGGCCAAAGAUUGCCCUUCAGCAGGUGAUCAAGACAUGUAUGGAAGGAAAAUGGGAAGGGCACCCUUGGGUUGGUGCAACUAUGGGGGAGGACAUAGUUCAUCUGUGGGGAGAAAUGAAUGCUUCAAGUGUGGCCGCCCAGGACAUUGGGCACGAGAUUGCCCUUCUGCAACUGAUCAGGAAAUGCAUGGAAGUGGUCAAGCGGGAGGGGACGACUCAAACAAUGACUACAUUGUUUACUCAUUUGGUGGAAGGAGAAGCACUCACUGGGAAGAUGACUGCUUCAAGUGUGGGCGCUCCGGACAUUGGCAGCAAGAGUGCCCUUCGUCAAAUGGUGGAGGUGGAAACGAUAUUGGCACUGAUGGAACGCGCAGAGAAAUUGAGGUAUGCUUGGGAUGGCCGUUUUGAAUAGGAGGAAAGUCAUCUCUGUUAUAUGGCAGCUACUAGCCCUUUUUCAUGUUAUUUUUUCGCUUUAGACAAAGAAAUGUUUCAAGCAUUUGAAAAGAAAUUAUUAAAUAUUAAGAGUUCGUAUUUGAUUAUGUUUGAUGAAUGAGAAAACGUGCUGGGUCGACUUUUCUCUGUGCUUCUGUAUGAUCGAGUACUGUAGAGACAAUUCAGACAACUAUCAUCUCCCAGAGGUGUAAAACUAGAGAAGAAAAGCCUCCCACAUUGGACAGAAGGGAAUAAUAGAAGCGUUUAAAUAAGUAUGCAUGUGCUGAUAGCCCACGACCUUACUUGAACAGGAUCUGUUCUAUAGGAUCGUACCUCUGUAUCCUUGAUUUCUAAGGAGACAGGAAUCUAAACCUGGUGGAUGACGCAGAGCCAUGCGAUUAGAGCGUGAUUGACGGCUGGUGAUCCUUGGGUCACCGUGGCUGUAGAUGAUCGUUCUCAGCUUGAUUCAUCAAGUCUGGGGUGGUCGCCUGGCUGUCUGACAGGUU
rnacentral:snoRNA from 1 species